CUGCGUACCUUUUGUAUAAUGGGUCAGCGACUUAUAUUCAGUAGCGAGGUUAACCGUAUAGGGGAGCCGUAGAGAAAUCGAGUCUUAAUAGGGCGUUUAGUUGCUGGGUAUAGACCCGAAACCAGGCGAUCUAUCCAUGAGCAGGUUGAAGGUUGGGUAACACUAACUGGAGGACCGAACCCACUGUCGUUGAAAAGCCAGGGGAUGACUUGUGGAUAGGGGUGAAAGGCUAAUCAAGCCUGGUGAUAGCUGGUUCUCCCCGAAAGCUAUUUAGGUAGCGCCUCGGACGAAUACCAUAGGGGGUAGAGCACUGUUUCGGCUAGGGGGUCAUCCCGACUUACCAAACCGAUGCAAACUCCGAAUACCUAUGAGUACUAUCCGGGAGACAGACUGCGGGUGCUAACGUCCGUAGUCAAGAGGAAAACAAUCCAGACCGCCAGCUAAGGCCCCAAAAUCAUAGUUAAGUGGGAAACGAUGUGGGAAGGCAUAGACAGCUAGGAGGUUGGCUUAGAAGCAGCCACCCUUUAAAGAAAGCGUAAUAGCUCACUAGUCGAGUCGGCCUGCGCGGAAGAUGUAACGGGGCUAAAACUAUGUGCCGAAGCUGCGGAUGUAUACUUUGUAUACGUGGUAGGGGAGCGUUCUGUAAGCCGAUGAAGGUGUGUUGAGAAGCAUGCUGGAGGUAUCAGAAGUGCGAAUGCUGACGUGAGUAACGACAAAACGGGUGAAAAACCCGUUCGCCGAAAGACCAAGGGUUCCAGUCCAACGUUAAUCGGGGCUGGGUGAGUCGACCCCUAAGGCGAGGCCGAAAGGCGUAGUCGAUGGGAAAAUGGUUAAUAUUCCAUUACUUCUGUGUAAUGCGAUGAGAGGACGGAGAAGGCUAAAUCAGCCUGGCGUUGGUUGUCCAGGUGAAAGGAUGUAGGCAUGUAUCUUAGGCAAAUCCGGGGUACUCUAUGCUGAGAUCUGAUAGCAAGCUGUACUUGUACAGCGAAGUGGUUGAUGCCAUGCUUCCAGGAAAAGUCUCUAAGCUUCAGUUACACAGGAAUCGUACCCGAAACCGACACAGGUGGUCAGGUCGAGUAGACCAAGGCGCUUGAGAGAACUCUGCUGAAGGAACUAGGCAAAAUGGUACCGUAACUUCGGGAGAAGGUACGCUGUUGUUGGUGAUGGAACUCGCUUCCUGAGCUGACGACAGCCGCAGAAACCAGGCCGCUGCAACUGUUUAUUAAAAACAUAGCACUCUGCAAACACGAAAGUGGACGUAUAGGGUGUGAUGCCUGCCCGGUGCUGGAAGGUUAAUUGAUGGGGUUAGCGUAAGCGAAGCUCUUGAUCGAAGCCCCAGUAAACGGCGGCCGUAACUAUAACGGUCCUAAGGUAGCGAAAUUCCUUGUCGGGUAAGUUCCGACCUGCACGAAUGGCAUAAUGAUGGCGGCGCUGUCUCCAGCAGAGGCUCAGUGAAAUCGAAAUCGCUGUGAAGAUGCAGUGUACCCGCGGCUAGACGGAAAGACCCCGUGAACCUUUACUGCAGCUUGACACUGAACUUUGACCUUACUUGUGUAGGAUAGGUGGGAGGCUUUGAAGCUGGAACGCUAGUUCCAGUGGAGCCGUCCUUGAAAUACCACCCUGGUAAUGUUGAGGUUCUAACUCUGUCCCGUGAUCCGGGACGAGGACCGUGUCUGGUGGGUAGUUUGACUGGGGCGGUCUCCUCCUAAAGAGUAACGGAGGAGUACGAAGGUGCGCUCAGCGUGGUCGGAAAUCACGCGUAGAGUAUAAAGGCAAAAGCGCGCUUAACUGCGAGACCCACAAGUCGAGCAGGUACGAAAGUAGGUCUUAGUGAUCCGGUGGUUCUGUAUGGAAGGGCCAUCGCUCAACGGAUAAAAGGUACUCUGGGGAUAACAGGCUGAUACCGCCCAAGAGUUCAUAUCGACGGCGGUGUUUGGCACCUCGAUGUCGGCUCAUCUCAUCCUGGGGCUGAAGCAGGUCCCAAGGGUAUGGCUGUUCGCCAUUUAAAGAGGUACGCGAGCUGGGUUUAGAACGUCGUGAGACAGUUCGGUCCCUAUCUACCGUGGGCGCUGGAAAUUUGAGAGGAUCUGCUCCUAGUACGAGAGGACCAGAGUGGACGAACCUCUGGUGUACCGGUUGUGACGCCAGUCGCAUCGCCGGGUAGCUAUGUUCGGAAGGGAUAACCGCUGAAAGCAUCUAAGCGGGAAGCCUACCUCAAGAUAAGAUUUCCCUAGGACUUUAUGUCCUCUAAAGAGCCGUUCGAGACUAGGACGUUGAUAGGUUGGAUGUGGAAGCAUAGUGAUAUGUGAAGCUGACCAAUACUAAUUGCUCGUGAGGCUUGACUAU
rnacentral:rRNA from 1 species